CACCAGUCAAAACAGAGCCGGGAUACCUCAUCUGUUUUCUAAUCGGAGGGGAGAUUAGAAAAGAUUUUGAAGGACAAUGAUCUGAACAGACAUUCUUCCUGAGCUAUAGUUUUGACAGUUAGAGUUCAGAGGCCACUCUUGUCAGAAGCGUCAGUACUGGCUGAGGCUACUGUACCUUCAAGCGCUGGUUCUUGUUGAAGUUGUUGAAGUCAUAUUUCCUUUGGCAGUCUUCUUUCAGCACCAGGUAGAACAGAGCAAUCCAGACCUGGCCGUCCAAUUUAGCCAUCUUCAGACAGAACCUUCUACCAUUUUCCAUUAAUGUACUUUGCUAUCUCUCCUGUAGAAGGAGACAAAGGACCACCCCUUCCCCGUGCACGCCCUAGAUAGUCGACCGCUAGGGUCAGGCCAAGUAGGGGAGGUCACAGUGCCACUGGUUAUGCAGACGUGGGGGGGUCAUGAGGAGCGUAUCAGCCUGUUCCUCAUUGACUCCCCAGCGUUUCCGGUGGUACUGGGAAUCCCUGGCUAGCCACGCACAACCCUCAGAUUUCGUGGAGACAGAGGGCUCUUACGGGGUGGUCGAGGGAGUGCUCAGGUAGGUGCAUAGGAGUUUCCAUCGGUGCGACUACGGUGGAGAGUCCAGACCAAGUCUCCACGGUGCACAUUCCCUUAGAGUAUGCCGAUUUGGCUAUCGCCUUCAGUAAGACGAAGGCGACUCUAUUACCCCCCCAUCGACGAGGGGAUUGUGCGAUAAACCUCCAGGCCGAUGCGGUUCUUCCUAGGAGUCACGUGUAUCCUCUGUCUCAGGAGGAGACAGUGGCUAUGGAUACAUACGUCACUGAGUCCUUGAGACAGGGAUACAUUCGGCCCCCGUCUCCUCGAGCUUUUUUUUCGUGAAGAAGAAGGAGGGAGGUCUGCGCCCGUGCAUUGACUAUAGAGGUCUAAAUGCUAUCACAGUGGGUUUCAGUUACCCGCUACCUCUCAUUGCUACGGCAGUGGAGUCAUUUCACGGGGCGCGCUUCUUCACGAAAUUAGAUCUCAGGAGCGCAUAUAACCUGGCCGGUGGUAGCUGGUCCACUGCAGGACGAUGAGGUGCUGGAGGUCCCCUCGCCCCCCCUGGACAUCGGGGGUCCCCGGCGUACACAGUCCGAGCCAUCCUGGACUCCCGACGUCGGGUCGGGGGCCUGCAGUACCUCGUGGACUGGGAGGGGUACGGUCCGGAGGAGAGGUGCUGGGUUCCGGCGGCGGACAUUCUAGAUCCACCUAUGCUACAAGAAUUCCACCGUCGCCGUCCGGAUCGGCCGGCGCCUCGCCCUCCGGGCCGUCCCCGAGGCCGGCGUCGGCGCGCGAGGGGAGGGGUACUGUCACAGUAUCUAACGAAGGUGGCGCCCCUCCUCGGUCGGGCGGCGCUCAGCGGUCGUCGUCGCUGACCUAUUAGCUGCCACCGAUCGUUGUUUCUGUGUCUUUUGGUUUUGUCUGUCUAUCUCGCACCUGUUUUGUGUUUGUCAUUAGUGGGGGGUUAUUUAGUGUGUAUUUUCAGUUGGGGUUCUCGUGCGGGACUGUUUAUUGUCCACUCAGGACAGUUGUGAUUGUAAACUGUUAUUGUCUAUUAUAUUGCCGGGCUGCGCCCCGUGCGCUUUUUUUUCCAGUGCGCUUAUUUUGGGAAGGUGUUUUCCCCUGGCAGACUUCGCCACGCGCCUGGUGCCCUACGGCUAUUGCGUGUUAC
rnacentral:lncRNA from 1 species